GAGCAGUGCGAGUGGCUCGGCGGACUCAUAAUCCGUCGGCCGUGGGUUCGAGUCCCAC
rnacentral:tRNA from 2 species